rnacentral:lncRNA from 1 species
UUAGUGAAUUUUGGGGGAAUUAAAGUGGAUUAGGGGGAAUUUUGGGCGAUUUUAUUGGAUUUGGGGGGAUUUUAGGUGGAUUUGGAGUUUUGAGGAAUUUUGGGGCUUUUGGGAGGUUUUAGAGAGUUUUGAGGAGACUUUGGGGCAUUUUAGGAAAUUUUGGGGGGAUUUUGGGGAAUUUUGGGAGAUUUCUUUGAGAUUUGGGGUGAAGUUUGGGACUUUUUGGGAUUUUUGGGGGAUUUUUUUGGGAUUUUUGGGGAUUUUGGGUCCCCCCAGAUGACGCUGUUGGAUUUUGGGGCGUGCCGGAGCUUCGAGCCGGAAUUCACCGACGGCUACAUCGAGGUGAUCCGGGCUGCGGCCGAGCGUGACGAGGAGAAAAUCCUGAGCAAAUCCCGGGAGCUGAAAUUCCUCACGGGCUUCGAGUCCCCGGUCAGAGCCCAAAAACCCAAAAAAAACCCCCAAAUUUUAGGCAAAAUAAUCAAGACAAAUUUUGGGGUUUUUCACGCCACAUUUUGGGGUUCCUCCCCCCAGUUUUUGUCAUUCUCCCCCAAACUGUGUCGUUCCCCCGCUGACCCAAAUUCCCGAUUUUUCCACCCAGUUUCAGGCCAUGGAGUGUCUCCAUGUCCGGGCUGUGCACCCCCAAAUUUUGGGAUUCCUCCCUUGAAUUUUGUGAUUCUUCAUCCCAAUUUUGUUCUUUUCACCCCAAAUUUUGGGGUUUCCCCCAAUUUUGGCUUCUCCACUCGAAAUUUUGGGGAUUCUCCCAAAUGUUGGGGGCCUUCCCAACAAAUUUUGGGGUUCCUCAUCCCAAUUUUGGCGUUUCUCAUCCCAAUUUUGUUCCUUUCGCCCCAAAUUUUGUGGUUCCCUUCAAAUUUGGCUUCUCCACCCCAAAUUUUCAGGUUUCUCCCCGUUUUGGGGUUCUCCACUCGAAAUUUUUGGGUUUUACUCCAAUUUUGGGGUUCUUCAAGCCAAAUUUUCGGGUUCCUCAUCCCAAUUUUGUUUUUUUUUUUUCUCGACAAAUUUUGGGGUUCCUCUAAUUUUUGGGUUCCUCCCCAUAUUUUUAACCUCUCUCCCCCUAAUUUUGGGGUUUUUCAGGCCAAAUUUUGGGGUUCCUCCCCCCAGUUUUUGUCAUUCCCCCCCAAACUGCGUCGUUCCCCCGCUGACCCAAAUUCCCGAUUUUCCCCCUAUUUCAGGCCAUGGAGUCUCUCCACGUCCGGGCCGUGCUGCUGCUGGGGGAGCCUUUUUGGGGUGCUCAGCCCUUCGAUUUCGGGGCGCAGGGGACGGCGCGGGGGGUGCGGGGGCUGCUCCCCCAGAUCCUGGGGGGCCGCCUGGGGCCGCCCCCCGAGCCCAGCUACGCCCUGCACCGCAAACUGGGGGGGCUCUUCCUGGCCUGCGCCCGCCUCGGCGGCCGCGUGCGCUGCCGGGAGCUGCUCCUGCGCCUCGAGCGCCGCCGGCACCCCGAAACCCCCGGGGGGCACCCCCAAAACCCGGGGGGACACCCCGAGAACGCCGGGGAGGCGCCCCGGCCUCAAUAAAGGGCAGGUUCAGCCCAAAAAUCCGGCUGGGUUUGGGUUUUUGGGGGGUUCUGGGUUGGGGAGGGGGAGAUUUGGGGGGUUCAGAGGGAAUUUGGGGUGGGGGGAUCCCCAAAACCCGGGGAGACACCCCAGGCUCAAGGGCGGUUUCAGCCCAAAAAUCGCUUUGGGAGUCCUGGUUUGGGAGGGGGGUUCUGGUUUCUUCCUUGUUUUUCCCAAAUUUCCAGUUUUUCUCCCCAUUUUCCCCAAGUUCUCGGGGUUUCUCCCCUUUUUUCCCCGCAUUUCCCCCCCCAUUUCUCCCGAUUUCUUUCUAGUCUCUCCCAAAUUCCCAGGUUUUCUCCCCCUUUCCCCCGUUUUUUUCCCAUUUCCCCCCAAUUUCCUGUUUUUUCCCGUUUUUCCCCAAAUUCCCGUUU